UCUUGGGCGCCUGGGUGGAGCACUCUGGAAUGAGCAUGGCUUUUGGAAGGACAGCGCCAUAUGCAGGCAGGUGCUGGUGGGCAUCUCCACCUCAGACCUAGCCAGGGCCUCUUCCCCUUAAAGGCCCUCCUCAUAUGAAGACAUUCACUGGGGAGACCUCGCUGUGCCCUGGCUGUGGGGAGCCCGUCUAUUUUGGUAAGUGACAGUGGAAAGCUUGGGGAGGGGGAUACAGUGUGGGCAGCAAGGGGCAGGGAGGUGAUCCAAGGCAGGUGGGUCUCCCUACUCUACCCCUAGAAUGGAAGCAUUACCACUUCUCUCCACCACCAGCUGAGAAGGUGAUGUCAUUAGGCAGAAAUUGGCACCGACCGUGUCUGAGGUGCCAGCGUUGCCACAAGACCCUGACUGCUGGGAGUCAUGCUGAGCAUGAUGGAGUCCCCUACUGCCACGUCCCCUGCUACGGCUACCUGUUUGGCCCCAAAGGUGUGAACAUUGGCGAUGUGGGCUGCUACAUCUAUGACCCAGUGAAGAUAAAAUUCAAAUGAGACGCUAACAAAAAAGGUCACCCUAACUCAGGCCUCCCAUCAUGCCCCUCAUGGUCCAAUGGGAGCUACAAAAAUCUACAGUCCCAUGGGGGUUGGG
rnacentral:sRNA from 1 species